rnacentral:rRNA from 1 species
CGGACGGGUGAGUAAUGCUUGGGAAUCUGGCUUAUGGAGGGGGAUAACUACGGGAAACUGUAGCUAAUACCGCGUAGUAUCGGAAGAUGAAAGUGUGGGACCGCAAGGCCACAUGCCAUAAGAUGAGCCCAAGUGGGAUUAGGUAGUUGGUUGGGUAAAGGCUGACCAAGCCGACGAUCUCUAGCUGGUCUGAGAGGAUGACCAGCCACACUGGAACUGAGACACGGUCCAGACUCCUACGGGAGGCAGCAGUGGGGAAUAUUGCACAAUGGGGGGAACCCUGAUGCAGCCAUGCCGCGUGAAUGAAGAAGGCCUUCGGGUUGUAAAGUUCUUUCGGUGAUGAGGAAGGUGCUUGUUUUAAUAGAACAAGCAAUUGACGUUAGUCACAGAAGAAGCACCGGCUAACUCCGUGCCAGCAGCCGCGGUAAUACGGAGGGUGCGAGCGUUAAUCGGAAUAACUGGGCGUAAAGGGCACGCAGGCGGUGACUUAAGUGAGAUGUGAAAGCCCCGAGCUUAACUUGGGAAUUGCAUUUCAUACUGGGUCGCUAGAGUACUUUAGGGAGGGGUAGAAUUCCACGUGUAGCGGUGAAAUGCGUAGAGAUGUGGAGGAAUACCGAAGGCG